rnacentral:lncRNA from 1 species
CGUUCCCUGGCCUUGCUCAAUGGGUUAAGGAUCUGAUGUUGUCGUGAGUUGUGGCAUAGGAGGCAAAUGUGGCUUGGAUCCCAAAUUGCUGUGGCUGUGUGUGGCAUAGGCUGCCAGAGUGCAGGAAUCAGAACACAGCCUAUCUUGGCAUAAUACUGACAUUGAGCAAAAAAUUUGUCCUCUUUGUGCCUCUGGAGUAAUGAGGUUUUACUGUUGAUAGUAUUUAACAUUUAUUGAACACAGUAUACACUAUAGAUGGUUCCUGGUGUUGUACAAGCUUUCCUCGUUUAAUCCUCACAGCGACUCUAUGAAGUGAUUAUUUUUUACCCAUCUUUUUCAGAUGAGGAAACUGAGGCACAGCGAGUUUAAAUACCUUUCUCAAAGUGAUGGGGCUUUGGUCUGAAGUCUUGCUGUAAAGGCCAUGUUCUUAACCAGUAGGCAUUGUCUGUGACAACUCUCCAUGUAUUCCAACAGGAUGGGGAUUUGGAUCAGAACAGCCCGUGCAGCAAGGCCCGUUUUCUGCGACUGUAAGGCCCUGAUGGGUGAGGAUUGGUUGACCUGAGCUGGCCAGCCCUUUCCAGGUGUGCUGGGUUGAAGUCUGUAUAAAUAGCUCCUCCCGUCAGCAUGAGCACCUGCAGCUGGACCUGACGGUAUACUUCCUGUCUUGUCAGUGGCCGUAAGGCUG